rfam:Salmo salar isolate Sally breed double haploid chromosome ssa12, whole genome shotgun sequence.
GUAAGGAAAAACUGUAAGUCGCUUUGGAUAAGAGCGUCUGCUAAAUAAAUGACA